rnacentral:tRNA from 1 species
CAAAGUGUAGCUAAGUUAGAAAAGCAUCUCCCUUACACUGAGAAGUCACCCGUGCAAAUCGGAUCACUUUGA